UAAAAGCCCAAGGUAAAAAGAAGAAUGGGCCUGGCAAUAGGGUUGAUUGAACUGGCUGAAGGACACCGUGAGGAAAUCAAGGAAAAUAAAUUUAUUUAUUUAUUUCUAAGGAAAAUACAGGACGGAAAGACCUCAGGACGGAAGGUUCUUAGGUCGGUAGGUCCUCAGGACGGAAAGACCUCAGGACGGAAGGUUCUUAGGUCGGUAGGUCCUCAGGACGGAAAGACCUCAGGUCGGAAGGUCCGCAAGACGGAAAGACCUCAAGUCGGAAGGUCUUCAGGUCGGGAGGUCCGCAAGACGGAAAGACGAUGAGUCGGAAGGUUUUCAAGUCGGGAGGUCCUCGAGACGGAAAGUCGUCGAGAUGGGAUAUCCGCAGGUCGGGUAAACUGUAGGUCGGAUAGAAGGAGGAGUCGGACAAACGCG